AAGCAACAUAGUGAGACCCCAUCUCUACCAUAAAAAAGCGGUGUCAGUCUCGCAGCCUGUCGGUCUCGAAGCUCACCCAGAGGAGAGCUUCGGACUGCUCCGGAUGUGGCUGUUUUUGGCU